ACUGUACCUCCUUCUCUCUCUCAAAUCAGUAAAUACAUUUUUUAAGCAUAUGUUUUUAAAAAAGAGAACAAGAUCAACAUUUCCCAAAACUUUCCUCAGAACACUAAUUAUGUGAGGUUUAAUGGUUAUGCUAAAUUUUUUUAAAAGCUUUGUAGUCAAAUUUGGGGAAUGCUGAGUUCAAGUCAGGCACGUUUCUUUGCAGCAAGCACUUGCAGCACUCUGGAAUGCUCAUGGACUCUGGCCCUCCAAGAGGGAGGGUGGUACGCUGUGCGGGGAGGCGUGGCUUUAACAGUCCGAGAGCCGUCCUCCAUGUGUGGCCCGAUGGAGCUCCUUGGUGUUUGUUGAACAUAUAAACUGUAGGUCUUGCCUUUGACGUAGAGGGACUCUGGAGCCUAGAUUUUGCUAAGCCCCACCUGGUGAUUCUGGUGCCUCCCCAAAGUUUGAGAUCCACUGACAGAGGAGUACAGUUUGGGGAAAUAUGGAUUAGCAGGAGCCCCUCCAGCUGGGAAAACAUGAGGUUACAGACAAGACCUGUGCUGUCCCCGGAGCACCCAAAGUAAGGGCUGCUGCCUCUCUCCCACCCACCCGCAGGGUAUGGGCACUUUACGGGAAGAAGGAGGCAUUGACAAAUGAGUUCAGGGUGCAAAUCCGUGUAGCUCCAACAGUACAUAGGGAUUGGAGGUAUGAAAUGGGAGCAGGGUACCAGAUGGGUCGGCCACCAACUGCACCCGAAUCCGCCAGUCAUUCUACUCUGACUGUACAGGAGUGAUGGGUGAUCACAGUGAAUCCUGCAAGAUUAAAUG